UACGUAGGCACCAAGCGUUGUUCGGAAUUACUGGGCGUAAAGAGUGCGUAGGCGGUCGGCCAAGUUCGGUGUGAAAUCUCCCGGCUCAACUGGGAGGGUGCGCCGAAGACUGGCUGGCUAGAGUGUGGGAGAGGAAAGUGGAAUUCCUGGUGUAGCGGUGAAAUGCGUAGAUAUCAGGAGGAACACCUGAGGUGUAGACGGCUUUCUGGACCAUAACUGACGCUGAGGCACGAAAGCGUGGGUAGCAAAC
rnacentral:rRNA from 1 species